rnacentral:rRNA from 1 species
CUUGGUCAUUUAGAGGAAGUAAAAGUCGUAACAAGGUCUCCGUUGGUGAACCAGCGGAGGGAUCAUUACCGAGUUUACAACUCCCAAACCCCUGUGAACAUACCACUUGUUGCCUCGGCGGAUCAGCCCGCUCCCGGUAAAACGGGACGGCCCGCCAGAGGACCCCUAAACUCUGUUUCUAUAUGUAACUUCUGAGUAAAACCAUAAAUAAAUCAAAACUUUCAACAACGGAUCUCUUGGUUCUGGCAUCGAUGAAGAACGCAGCAAAAUGCGAUAAGUAAUGUGAAUUGCAGAAUUCAGUGAAUCAUCGAAUCUUUGAACGCACAUUGCGCCCGCCAGUAUUCUGGCGGGCAUGCCUGUUCGAGCGUCACUUCAACCCUCAAGCACAGCUUGGUGUUGGGACUCGCGUUAAUUCGCGUUCCUCAAAUUGAUUGGCGGUCACGUCGAGCUUCCAUAGCGUAGUAGUAAAACCCUCGUUACUGGUAAUCGUCGCGGCCACGCCGUUAAACCCCAACUUCUGAAUGUUGACCUCGGAUCAGGUAGGAAUACCCGCUGAACUUAAGCAUAUCAAUAAGCGGAGGA